AAAGUCGUAACAAGGUCUCCGUAGGUGAACCUGCGGAGGGAUCAUUAACACGUUUCCAUAACGUUUUAUUACCAACCAACCGCGUGAAUUUAAUGGAAUUAAAUUUUACCCGACUUGAGAGGGAGAGAACCUGUCUAUUUACACGGAGUGAUGAGUGUGUUUGUAUGUGUGAAAGCAUAUAGAAGCAUGCGGUGUAUUUAGGCUUGUAAUGCUUCGACAUUACGGGAUUAUCUCUCUUUCAAGCUAUCAAUUCUUACCAAUGUUCCCUUCAUCGCUGGAACGAACAAACCCCUUUCACCCCUUUAUAACUAACUAGACUGAUAUAUUUCUGAAGAUAGCAUUAAUCUGUUAUUUUCGAAAUGAUUUUAAUCAAAUAUCUAAGCACAACUCUUAGCAACGGAUAUCUUGGUUCUC
rnacentral:misc_RNA from 1 species